rnacentral:rRNA from 1 species
UACGAAGGGUGCAAGCGUUCGUCGGAAUUACUGGGCGUAAAGCGUGCGUAGGUGGUUUCUUAAGUCCGUUGUGAAAGCCCCGGGCUCAACCUGGGAAUUGCAUUCGAGACUGAAUAGCUAGGGUACGGUAGAGGGAAGCGGAAUUUCCGGUGUAGCGGUGAAAUGCGUAGAUAUCGGAAGGAACAUCAGUGGCGAAAGCGGCUUCCUGGACCAGUACCGACGUUCAGGCACGAAAGCGUGGGGAGCAAACAGG